rnacentral:misc_RNA from 1 species
GUAUUAGAGUUUUUUAUACUCAAUUGAUGUAGACUGAUACUGAGAACAAAGGUAUGAAUGAAAAGGAGGCAGAAACCUCCCCGACAAUGCACACAAGGUGGAUAAUGGGAUUCAAGUGCCAUUAAAACACUAUUGUGAAUGAUCCUUCCGCAGGUUCACCUACGGAAA